GACAGACUGAGGAGUGGGCUGCUGUCAUGUACUGCACCGGGCAGCAACCACACAGGCAGGUGAAAACAACUGAGAAAGGAGGCUGGCAUCAGCGUCGCUUCGCUAGCUCUUAGAAGAAUAAACAACCUUGUACAGACACAGAAGAAAGGCAGAGAAAUAUUAGAUGACUCACCCACAGUCUGCAGCAGGUGAGUGAAAGAAUUAGAAACAGAAUCUCUGGCCUCUGGCCUUUCUUCCAAAUCAUCUUUCCUGUGUUUGUGCCACAGUAAAAUGAUUUUUCAUAUGUCCUGUCUUGGAAAUAUGAAAAAUAUAUGCAAUAUGCAAAGCAGCCAAUUGGACUGCCUUUUGGAAUAUAUCAUCAUUUAUGAAAGGUCCAUCUUGAAGCCUAAACAGAUUGUGUGCAGUUAAUUGCAAACUGUCAAAGAGACUACAGCACUUUACUGCCAAUUUGUAAAUAAAACCAAGUAUGCAAAAGGGUUUAGGCAAGUGAGGUGAGUUUCUGUGGAUAUAUGAAAGGCAAUGCGCAAAUGCAAUGCAACACAAUUUUUACACUCCAGCCUUUAAGAAUUUUGCUGACCCUGUAAGAAAAUGGUGUGGUGCAGAGUCAUUGAACGCAGGUAGGCUUCCCCAUAGGUAAACAUUUUCCAUAACCCAAAUGAAGAAGUCCCAGCUUACUUGAAAAGCUAAAAGAAUAAAAAAAGUCAUCAAGUGCAAAAGAAAAACAUAAUUUUUAUUAAAAUCUUGGUAAAUACAUAAGCAUUUUUGUACCCUAAAGACUUGCUGAAUGAUGGUGGUGAAGUGUGGAUUUUUCCAAAUAUAGGGGACUGCAAACAAAGCAGAUUCCCUUUAUGUCCUGAUUCUGACCCUCAGAUGAUCUUUGUUAUAAAUAUGCUCAACCUGGUGGCUGGCCAAUACCUGACUUGAUUCCUUAUCCAGUGCUGUCGAGCUCCCUUUGUAUCACUGCUGUUACCAUCCUGUAUCUCAUUGUUCCCCUCCAUAAUAUUCAAUAAAUACAAUAUGUUUGGUGCCACUACUGAUCUGCUGAGCCAGUCAGUGGCCAGCCCAGUGACUCAGGCUUGGUCUCAGCUUCAAAAGAAAAAUGAUGAUGCCUGUCUUUCUAGGUUUGAACCCCUCCGGUGAACAGCAUCACAAAUGUAAUACAGACCUUCAGCAAUUACUGAAACAGCAGUUUGUCACAAGCUGCUGGCAGCACUGAUGGACAAUCUGCUUGUGGGUAUAGUUAGAGGAAGGAAUAUGUAAGAAAAUAUGAUAUUUGUGACAAGCUUAACUUGGAAAUUUUUUUUCAGGGGAUCAAAUGAACAUGUGGAGGCAGUGUAGAUGAAGAACCGGGUGCUCCUGGAAAGUGAGGAAGAGACCUCCACUGUCUGUGCCUAUUGCCAGUGUGACUCUGGAGUUUCCCAGCUCUGGUAAGCCUACCCACUCCAUUUGAGGUAUUUAAACUCCAGAGUCCCUGGUUCAAUGCCUAGAAAAGCUGGCCAGAGAUACAGUACAGUGCAUGGACUUCAUUGCGUGUGACCACUCCCUGCUGUGUGCAGACAAGAAAAGUCUAUGACAAGAAAAACAAAUCAAGCUCCUGACCUUGGCAUCAUUGCUCACUUAGGAAUUUUUUGUACCUGAAAGAAAACCUGCUAAUAUCCCAUCCAAGUAAUGAAUUAACUUGCAUGUUAUCAGUAAAUACAGCAACAGAAAUCUAGCUGUAAAGCAGACACCUCUUAAGAGCCCGCAAAGCAGUCAAGGUGGCUGGGGGAGGAAGGCCCACCCUGCUUCCUCCCAGGACGGAUCACCACAAAACAGCAAGGGCAACUUCCAGCUCAGGAGGGAAACCCCUCCUGGAUUCACAUCAGCAAGCUACAACUAAAAAGCUUUACAGCACAAGAACAUAGACUUCUGUCAUGCACAAGAAGCAUCUUAGAAGAGAAAUAUAUGAAUAUUUUGUACAUAAAAAAGAGCCAUGUAUGUCGGAAGAACACACAGUCAAGUACUCAAAAGAUUUGAAAGGGCGGAGUUGUGCUCCAUCAGGUUCCAUUUCCCCAUGUCAUUUCACCAAUACUGACAAGGAUGCAAAAUGCUCGUUUGCUGAUUUUUAUUUCCUUUAGCCUUAUUAGUACCGCUUAGAAAUAUUUAGAAAUAUUAAUUUUGUUUUUAAAGAAUUCUGAUUCUGACUUCGGACUCAGUUAAGGUGGUCAGCAGUAAUAAUACAUUAUAAAUCAUAAGCUUAUGUCUUGAAGGAGAACAUAACACAUCUAAUAGGUUGUGGCUCCACCCACUCAGUUUUAUCUCAUUUUCGACUUCUCAGGAGAGUUUCUGUUUCCUUUUUAUUAUCUCUCCAACUCCUUUCUGACCACAUUCCUUCCCCUAUAAUCAUUUUGCCUCUACAUUGGUUUCCAGACUGUUUCACUGCUGAAUGUCUAAAAUGAAGCAUGGGGUAUUUUGAUCCUCUCUGAAGUAUGAUGCCAUUGGUUAUAGCUACACCCCGUCCCCUCCACGCCAGCCAGUACCAACCCAUGGGCAAACUCUGAUACUUCACAGACUUCUGUCUGAGCAACUUUACAGACACACAUUUAACUUAGCAGGGCAGUAAUAUGAAUAAAGUUUUAUUUGUAGCAGUUUUCAGAGAGAGAUCAAUUUGCCAGGUAAAAUCUUAUGAACCACACAAUCGGAACAACACAGUAAAAUAAAUUAAAGCCUUUACCAAAAUUCAUAAUGAUUUGCACUGGAGCCCAAUUUUGGAUGACACUCAGUUUCCCAGAGAGGAUGCUACAAACUCCAUGUAAGUUUUUAUCUCUGAAUAUAAGUUUAAUUUUGCAAACAUCUGCCAGUUGGAAAAUUAUUUUGUUCCAGUGCUUUGUUUCUAAUGGUUCUAAUCAGUAAGUCUCUUCUUUUGCGAUCCCGGGUUAUGAUUUUUUGCCAGCACAUCCAGAAUGAGUACCGGUCGGACGUCCACCAAGGCACAGCAAUCUUUGCACUUUGGGAGGU